CAGAAUCUGAGGGCAGGCAGGGCUUCAGUAGCCACUUUCGAGGGGUGGGACUGACAGUUCCGCUCCUGGCGUUUGUGAGGAUUACCUGAGACGACAGACGUCAUCGUCCUCUCUUGAGACUAUACCUCUGGUAGCCGAACUGAUGAAUAUUCAUCGCAGUAUUUCAUUUCACAUUUCAUCAUAUUCCAGAACAACAGGACCCUUCUGCCACAGAUACACCCUUCAUAUGUGGAGAAGAACGGAGUUGUUGCAGUAAACCAGGCCAGCGAUGCCAGUAAUCUGCAGUGAGGUUGUUAUAGUG